GGCAGCUGUGCCAAAUUCAGUGACUGCCCCACCCAUGGCAGGCACUGGCUCAAAAGGCUGCUAUAGAAACACUGUAACUCAUGGCCCUGUUUUUCUGUCCUGAAACUCAGGGAUAAAUUUUGUUACAGACACCA